rnacentral:rRNA from 1 species
GACGAACGCUGGCGGCGUGCUUAACACAUGCGAGUCGAACGGAAAGGCCCUGCUUUUGUGGGGUGCUCGAGUGGCGAACGGGUGAGUAACACGUGAGUAACCUGCCCUUGACUUUGGGAUAACUUCAGGAAACUGGGGCUAAUACCGGAUAGGAGCUCCUGCUGCAUGGGGGGGGUUGGAAAGUUUCGGCGGUUGGGGAUGGACUCGCGGCUUAUCAGCUUGUUGGUGGGGUAGUGGCUUACCAAGGCUUUGACGGGUAGCCGGCCUGAGAGGGUGACCGCCCACAAUGGUCCUGAGAUACGGCGCAGACUCCUACGGGAGGCAGCAGUGGGGAAUAUUGCACAAUGGGCGGAAGCCUGAUGCAGCAGCGCCGCGUGCGGGAUGACGGCCUUCGGGUUGUAAACCGCUUUCGCCUGUGACGAAGCGUGAGUGACGGUAAUGGGUAAAGAAGCACCGGCUAACUACGUG